UACAGAGGGUGCAAGCGUUGUUCGGAAUUAUUGGGCGUAAAGCGCGUGUAGGCGGCUUUGCAAGUCGGGUGUGAAAGCCCUCAGCUCAACUGAGGAAGUGCGCCCGAAACUGCAGAGCUUGAGUACCGGAGAGGGUAGUGGAAUUCCCGGUGUAGUGGUGAAAUGCGUAGAUAUCGGGAGGAACACCAGUGGCGAAGGCGACUACCUGGCCUGUUCUUGACGCUGAGGCGCGAAAGCUAGGGGAGCAAACGGG
rnacentral:rRNA from 1 species